rnacentral:rRNA from 1 species
CCUACGGGAGGCAGCAGUGGGGAAUAUUGGUCAAUGGGCGAAAGCCUGAAGCAGCAACGCCGCGUGGAGGAUGAAGGUUCUCGGAUUCUUAACCCUCUUUGUUCGAGAAGAUAAUGAUGGUAUCUAACGCAUAAGCAGCGGCCAACUCCGUGCCAGCAGCCGUGGCAAUACGGAGGGUGCAGGCGUUACUCGGAAUUUCUGGGCGUAAAGAGCGCGUAGGCGGGAUAGCAAGUCAGAUGUGAAAUCCUAUGGCUUAACCAUAGAACUGCAUUUGAAACUGGUAUUCUAGAGUAGGGGAGAGGUAGGUGGAAUUCUUGGUGUAGGGGUGAAAUGCAUAGAGAUCGAGAAGAAUACUCAUUGCGAAGGCGGCCUGCUAGAACAAAACUGACGCUGAUGCGCGAAAGCGUGGGGAGCGAACAGGAUUAGAUACCCGGGUAGUC